rnacentral:rRNA from 1 species
GACGAACGCUGGCGGCAUGCCUUACACAUGCAAGUCGAACGGCAGCGGGGGAGAAGCUUGCUUUUCCUGCCGGCGAGUGGCGAACGGGUGAGUAAUACAUCGGAACGUGCCCUGUAGUGGGGGAUACCUAGUCGAAAGAUUAGCUAAUACCGCCUACGACCUGAGGGUGAAAGUGGGGGACCGCAAGGCCCCAUGCUAUAGGAGCGGCCGAUGUCUGAUUAGCAAGUUGGUGGGGUAAAGGCCUACCAAGGCGACGAUCAGUAGCUGGUCUGAGAGGACGAUCAGCCACACUGGGACUGAGGCACGGCCCAGACUCCUAAGGGAGGCAGCAGUGGGGAAUUUUGGACAAUGGGCGAAAGCCUGAUCCAGCAAUGCCGCGUGUGUGAAGAAGGCCUUCGGGUUGUAAAGCACUUUUGUCCGGAAAGAAAUGGCUCUGGUUAAUACCUGGGGUCGAUGACGGUACCGGAAGAAUAAGGACCGGCUAACUACGUGCCAGCCGCCGCCGUAA